UGUGACAAUGGAAGCGGAGCUGCGAGUGAGCGUCAGGCAUGGGCAGCAAACGCUCGACAUUUCACUACCAUCGUCGGCGCGAGUGAGCGAUCUUAUGGAGCGGCUCCAAGCUCUGACCAAUGUGCUCCCUCGCGGACAGAAGCUCAUCCACAAAGGGAAGAUCUUGACUCCAGACAUGACGCUCGCCAGCGGCUCCAAGAUUAUGAUGAUGGCCACGCAAGGAACACAUCAAGGGUCAGCUCCUGAGAUGAAGAAGCCUAGCGUUUUGCUCAAGUCGAAGCCAGCGGAGAAACCGGCCACAAAGAUCAAACCACCCGAAAGAGUUGAAGUUUGGAAAUCGACUGGGUAUGUCUCAUUACGAGACACUGAAGUGCUGGAAAUUCCAGCCACUGUGUGGGCUCUCGGCCAGUCGAUAAUAAUUUUGGACUUGACGAGCACAAUGCUAAGAACGGUGCCGGCCGAACUUUCAUGUUUGUCAAAACUAAAGAGAUUGUCUUUGUCGGGUAACAGCCUCGAUGAUACUAGCAUUCACUGGAAAAGCUUGUGCUCACUACAGAGCCUUGAGCUUCUUGAACUCACGGCCAACUGCUUGACCAGCUUGCCUUGUGAGAUUCAAGGGCUUUCAUCUCUCAGGCUGCUAAACGUUUCCAGGAACAAACUCACAACGCUGCCAGACGAGAUCGGCAUGCUGUCUCGAUUGGAAAGGCUGAACUUGAGCAAUAACAGCCUACGUGAAAUUCCAUCGUCUAUUGGACACUGUUCUGCUCUUACGAAUGUCUGCAUUUCCUUUUCUGCCUUUCUUUUUCUCUGGAUAACUUAUGACAGGAAACAGCUCAAUCUCUCUUCGAAUUUCCUGACUCUUGUACCACCAUCGAUUAGCGAGCUACGAAAACUCAAGUCCUUACUCGUUGCAAACAACGCUCUGAAGGAGUUUCCAGCGAGCAUUCUCAAGGGGUGUGGUGAACUCAACUCGCUUGAUUUGCACGGGAAUCCCAUCACCAUCGAAGCUCUGAGAGAAAUUGAUGGCUGGGAGGAGUUUGAUGCGAGAAGGAAGGCGAAGUAUGACAAACAGAUGGUGUUUCAAGUAAUGGGGCCAUCGGAUGGAUUUGACGAGGGCGCUGACACUCAAGAAACACGGCACUGGUGAAACGAUCCGGACAAACGAAGCACUCGUGAGCGAAAUGGUUCCUGAUCUUAUUCUCUCACCUGGAGGAACUAACAAGCAUUCUAAACUUGACUUCCAAAAAUUCUCAAGGAGAGUGUUCUCUCAUAGCCAUUCGAUCGGUGUGUAUUUGAAUAGCUUAAACUCGCAAUCGGCGCCACCAGUGACUACUGUGUCCUCCCGCCACCAAUCCGCACAAAGGACCUACAACAAAACGAGAAUGUAAAUUGUUUGAGCACUUGCUCGCAACAAACGAACCUUGUCUUUGUGCGCC